rnacentral:rRNA from 1 species
AUUGAACGCUGGCGGCAGGCCUAACACAUGCAAGUCGAGCGGAUGAAGGGAGCUUGCUCCUGGAUUCAGCGGCGGACGGGUGAGUAAUGCCUAGGAAUCUGCCUGGUAGUGGGGGAUAACGUCCGGAAACGGGCGCUAAUACCGCAUACGUCCUGAGGGAGAAAGUGGGGGAUCUUCGGACCUCACGCUAUCAGAUGAGCCUAGGUCGGAUUAGCUAGUUGGUGGGGUAAAGGCCUACCAAGGCGACGAUCCGUAACUGGUCUGAGAGGAUGAUCAGUCACACUGGAACUGGGACACGGUCCGAACCCCUACGGGAGGCAGCGGUGGGAAUAUUGGACAAUGGGCGAAAGCCUGAUCCAGCCAUGCCGCGUGUGUGAAGAAGGUCUUCGGAUUGUAAAGCACUUUAAGUUGGGAGGAAGGGCAGUAAGUUAAUACCUUGCUGUUUUGACGUUACCAACAGAAUAAGCACCGGCUAACUUCGUG